UCUAGAGGCUUCGGCAAUGGGGGCAACCCUGACCGAGCGACGCCGCGUGCGGGAUUGAAGGCCUUCGGGUCGUAAACCGCUGUCAGGUGGGAAGAAUGCCCGUAUGGCGAAUACGGGAGCGACGGUACCACCAGAGGAAGCCCCGGCUAACUCCGUGCCAGCAGCCGCGGUAAUACGGAGGGGGCAAGCGUGAUUCGGAUUUACUGGGCGUAAAGGGUGCGUAGGCGGCCGCGCAAGUCUGACGUGAAAUCUUCACCGCUCAACGGGAAGAGGUCGUUGGAAACUGCGUGGCUCGAGUGUGGUAGAGGCAAGCGGAAUUCCAGGUGUAGCGGUGGAAUGUGUAGAUAUCUGGAAGAACACCCGUGGCGAAGGCGGCUUGCUGGGCCAUCACUGACGCUGAGGCACGAAAGCGUGGGGAGCAAACG
rnacentral:rRNA from 1 species